UCCGGUCACGCCCCCAACAUGGCGGCCACGCGAGCUGCAGUACGACCAGCGCUCAGGCUCCUGUUUAGCCGCUGCCUGGCCCCUCGCUAUGCCUCGCCGUGCCCCCCACAGCCGGCUCGCUCAGGAAGCAUCGACAUCCGGAGCUCCUACGGCGGAGUUAGGAGCGGCUCCCACGUCCGCAGCUGGGAAAGCGGGGCCGGGGUGGUGGGGGAGGACGGAGAGGAGCCCGAGGAGGAGGAGCUGCUGAGCCGGGAACCACUGCUGCCCGCUGAGGCCCAGCGUGUGUGCGUCCUGCAUCCUGACGUCGGGGGCCGCGCCGGAAGGAAGGCGUACGACACAGAGUGUCAGGUGGCGGAGGCUGCCGCGCUGGUGCGCACAUUGCAUGGCUGGUCGGUGGUGCGGACCCUGGUGGUGCCCACGAGGGUCCCAGACAGCAAGUUUGUCUUUGGCAAAGGAAACUUCCAGGAGCUGACGGAGAAGAUCAAGGGAUCUGUGGACAUCACGUGUGUGUUUCUGAAUGUAGAGAGGAUGACGGCUCUGACCAAGAAGACCCUGCAGACUGCCUGGGGCGUCCAUGUGUUAGACAGGUUCACUAUCGUACUGCACAUAUUCCGCUGUAAUGCCCGCACCAAGGAGGCCCGGCUGCAGCUGGCUCUGGCAGAGAUCCCUCUGCUGAGGUCUACCCUGAGUAGCUGCUCUGCACGACUGGACCAGCAAGGAAGGGGCUCACGGUACAUCAUGGGGUCAGGAGAGUCAUCCACAGAGCUGUGCCAACGGGCACUAAAGGAGAAGGAGGUGAAGAUCAGGCGUGCGCUAGAGCGGUUGCGGGACAAGCGGAGUAUGCUAAGGAAGCAGCGCUUGCGGCGCGAGUUCCCCAUUGUGUCUGUUGUCGGCUACACCAACUGUGGGAAAACCACGCUCAUCAAGGCCCUGACGGGGGAGGCCACCAUGCAGCCAUGUGACCAGCUGUUCACAACCCUUGAUGUCACGGCACAUGCAGGGUUGCUGCCAUCAUGCAUGCCCAUCCUGUACAUGGAUACCAUUGGCUUCCUGUCACAGCUGCCACAUAGCCUGAUCCAGUCAUUCUCCACCACGCUGGAGGACGUGGUGCAUUCGGAUGUUAUCCUGCAUGUGAGGGACAUGAGCCACCCCAACACAGAGCAACAGAAGGCCAGUGUCUUGUCUACACUGCGAGGGCUGCAGCUGCGGCCUGCACUCUUGAACUCCAUGUUGGAAGUUCACAACAAGGUGGAUCUGGUUCCUGGGUACAGGCCCCCAGGGCACCACGUCCUGGCUGUGUCUGCACUCCUGGGCCAUGGGCUAGACAAGCUGAAGGCGACACUGGAGGAGACGGUUCUGCAGGCCACUGGCCGGCGGGUGCUCACCCUCUGCUUACGGCUUGGGGGACCCCAGCUCUGGGACCCAUGACACCAUGGCAUACUGCCUGAGCCGGAAGUCCCCAAUCUCCUGGGGAGAGUUGGCUGCUGCACCCAGCUGGAGCGGGUCACACCCUGAAAUAUGGGGCCCUUGGUGUUGAGAUGGUCAGUCACACUGACAUCCCUAUGGCACCGUCACCAAGAUCUCCAAGUGGCUGGAGUUGCACCCCCAUGAGGUAAUCAUUCUGGCCUGCAGAAACUCUGAAGGAUGACAGGAGACUUGCACGAGUACAUCAUAGACUGCAUCAAGAACAUCUUCAGGGACUCUCUGUGUCUGCGUGGGGUGAGAAGGAGGAUUGUACGGGCUAGGGUGAGGAAGGCCUGGUAUUUAGGUGUAGGCAUGUGGCCUCAGGGUGAGGAGGACUUAGGCGGGUGGACAUACCAUGUAUGUUGGGGGACCAGAAGCAACAGAGGAGGACUGGUGCAGGAGAAUUGUCUGUAUUCUGUCAAUCAUGUUUUAAAUAAAUGCUGAUUGGCCAGGCAGGAAGUAUAGGUGGGAAAACCAAACAGGAAGUAGAAAUGAUGCAAGGAGAACAGAAG